AGGAAGGAUACCGCUUUUGUCAAAUUGACAGGUCGGGUCAAAGGUCACGUUCAAAAGUUCAGUGGGCGGAGCUUAUGUUGUAGUGGGUUGAGCUUGGUUGUGUAACUGACGCAAUAGCAUAUGGAUUUAAUUAUUUAUUUAAAUAUUUUUUUUUGUCUUCUUCCCCGGGGGGUUGGUUGUGUAACUGCUGCAAUGGUAUUUGUAUUUAAUUAUUUAUUUAUUAUUUUAAAUGAUUGUGGCUUAGGGGGCCUGGGUUGGUUGUGUUAGUGCUGCAAUGGUAUUUGGAUUUAUUUAUUUAUUAUUUUAAAUGCUUAUUUUAAAUGUUUAUUAUUUUAAAAUGAUAUUGAGGAGAGUGCUUAUGAGUGUGUAUUAUUUUAAAAAUGAUAUUGAUGAGAGUGCUUAUGAGCGUGUGUUAUUUGAAUAAGUUAUUAUUAUUAUUAUUUUGUGGUGCGCGGGGCGGGAGUGAGCGUGGCUGGGUUACCUGAUGGAGCGCGAGCGUACGGUGUGCGGUAGCGUGGUAAGGUCCCCGGGCUUCGGAGAAUCAGCAAAGGACUUAUUCACAUACUGGUGCGGUAGCGCGGAAAGGUCCGCACGGCUUUGGAUAAUCCUCGGAGAGAGCGAUGCGGGAGAGCUGAGAGGCGUGCUGCUGCGCGAGUCUGAGAGAAACUGUGAGAGACUGUGGGAUAAAAUGGUAAAGUUGGAGCAAAGAAUGAGAGGAGGAGGUGCAGGGUCUAUCGUCCAAUAAAAACGCUCGGCGCUAGUUUUGACCGUGUGUUUUUUUCCUCACGCAAGCGUUUGUAUCACAUCGGCGUAUGGCGCCAAUUUGUAAAGGUCAUAAGUCGAGACAUACAUCGAGUCUGUCAAUUUGUCCGCCAGUAAAUUCUGCAGGGCCGUGCCACCUAGCCAUCGAGGCGCCCCCCUACCCGGCCACGCGGGCCAUACAUCGAGUCUGACACUUUUGCCCUCCAGUAAAUUCUGUUUAAAGUUUUGUUUUCACAUACGUCCCAAAUUACAGAUAAUUUUCUUACACAGGCACGAGUAGCAUCAUCAAGGCCGUACCACCUGGUCAUACAUCAAGUCUGACAAUUUCCCCGCCAGUAAAUUCUGUUUAUAGUUUUGUUUGUCAUACAUGACCGUGCAGAUAUGGGGUGACAGAGACAAUUAAAUUGUAUUGCGGCGAGCGGGGGGGGCUAUUCCUCCUAGGGCAGAGGCACAAGUAUCUUCGAGGUCUUACCCUUCCUGCCAGCCAAAGAGGUUCAUCCAGGCCUUACCCGAGAGAGAGACUGCGCUGACCGGUCAAGAGAAAAUCUACAAGAGACCUGAAUCAGCAGUGUUAUAAAGCACAUAGCCAACGCUAAUUAAUAAAGAAUUUAAGCAUAAUAGCCCAGACGUACCAUGGCCUAUAGCUGGUAGAAACGGAGCUAUCCUACGGCCUACAAGAUAAAAGCAUAUGGCACCAAAUUGGAAUCAGUAGUCUUUAAAAGAAUAAAUGGACUAGCAACUGUCUCUGGGGGAGCAGCCCCGGUUAGGUACUAUUAAGCAGCAUUUAGUGACAUGCAUCAAAACACAUUUUUUAAAACUUUGACAGAAUAAAGUCUUAGUUAUUUUAAUAAAUACGUUUUUCAGUAAAUGUUUAUUCACGCGCAUGCGGACAAACACACACCCCGGAGGUCAAACUAAAAAAAAGUUGAUACAAACUACAGUUGUAUCGGACACGCACACAAAAACACAAAAGAGUUUGCUCAAUCAAAAAACACCAAACAUAUAUAGUUCACGUUUUUUAUUAAAAUGUAUAAGGAUUGUUUUGAUUUAAAUUAAUAUGAGUGGAAUAUAAGUCAUUUACGCAACAGGAUUUGAGGAAGAACCUAAAUAGCAGCUAGAAAUGACCGACCAGGCAGGCAGAAGUCUGCUUUUCUUAUCUCACAAGUCAUGGAAGGGUGGGAGGGGGGCCACAUAAGUGUGGGGUAGGAACUGUGGAAUCAGGCAGGGGUGUAAGAAUUUAGGAUAUAGUCUUGUUAUUUUAAAGAAGGUGUACAUGAUUAUUUAAUUAUAUUUAAAGAAGGUGUACAUGAUUAUUUAAUUACAUUUAAUAGGAACCAGUAAGCUGCAUUUAGCACCAUGCUGCAAAUACACAUAAAAAAAAACUUUAAAGAAUAAGGUCUUAGUUAUUUUAAUAAAGACAUCCUACAAGGUACCCACGGCCCCAGCUUAUAUAAUCUACAAGCUUGAUCUGAGAUGCUUGCUGGAGUACAAUGCUAAGUUGACAACGGUAACGGAGCUGCAUAUUGUUUGAUAGUUAUGAAACAUAGUUCAAAUUCAACAGUGUCAGCAGUCAUCCACUAUGCAGGGAGACUACAGAUUGACUAUAACGACCCCAUUUAUCUGCUGGAAUUAUUUAAAAAAAAAAAUUGACAUAAUAAAGCCUUAGUUAUUUUAAUAAAUAUGUUUUUUCAGUAAAUGUAUAUUCAUGCUCAUGUGCACAAACACACACACACACACACACACACACACACACACACACACACACACUGGUGGUCAGGGGCUUUAGAGUUUAACUUUAGGUCUGUGAAAGUAUAGGACCGCUAACUUAGUCGUUCAUGAGUCUUAUUGUGAAAAACCACACAAAAUAGACUUGUAAAUUUUAAAGAAAAGACAUUAACAGCUUUUGUUAAUGUUUACAUGUAUAAAAACUUUAGAUGUGUUUGUAAAACAGUCAAACAAAAAUGUGUUAUUUUAAAGUAGUAUAAAAUAUAACCUUAACUUUGGACGCAAGAUGAACAACCUACACACACACACACACACACACACACACACACACACACACACACACACACACACACACACACACACACACACACACACACACACACACAGCAAAACCCCAAGCAUGCGCACAAGCGCACAACCAAAGGUUGGGAAAUGUGCUUUUCCUUAUCUCACAAGUCAUGGAAGGGGGGGAUGGGGGACACAUAAGUGGGGGGUAGGAACUGUGGAAUCAGGCAAGGGCGUAAGAAUUUAGGAUAUAGUCUUGUUAUUUUAAAGAAGGUGUACAUGAUUAUUUAAUUAUAUUUAAUAGCAACCAGUAAGCUGCAUUUACACAUUAAAUGCAAAAACACUUAAAAACUUUAAAGAAUGGUAAUAUAACUUGACCAUAGUUUUUAGUUACACAAAUGUUUUAAAAUGUAACAUGAAAGUUUUUCAAAGUAAGAUGUACAAAUGUUUUAAAAUGUGACAUGAAAGUUUUUCAAAGUAAGAUGUACAAGUAUUUUAAAAUGUAACAUGAAAGUUUUUCAAAGUAA